rnacentral:lncRNA from 1 species
GAUGUGAGGGGAAUCUGGUUGUGACAUCUGUCACCCCACUGAUCGCCAGGGUUGAUUCGGCUGAUCUGGCUGUCUAGGCGGGUGUCCCCUUCUUCCCUCACCACUCCAUGUGUGUCCCUCCUGAAGCAGUGCACUUGAUGGAAGAGGAUGACCCUCCCGGCUAGAGGAGGACCAGUCUUUGGUCAAGGGUAUGCAAGUAGCUCUGCUCCCCUGCAAGAACCUCCAAAUAAGCUCUCAA